GACGAACGCUGGCGGCGUGCCUAAUACAUGCAAGUUGAGCGCUGAAGGUUGGUGCUUGUACCUACUGGAUGAGCAGCGAACGGGUGAGUAACGCGUGGGGAAUCUGCCUUUGAGCGGGGGACAACAUUUGGAAACGAAUGCUAAUACCGCAUAAAAACUUUAAACACAAGUUUUAAGUUUGAAAGAUGCAAUUGCAUCACUCAAAGAUGAUCUCGCGUUGUAUUAGCUAGGUGGUGAGGUAAAGGCUCACCAAGGCGAAGAUACAUAGCCGACCUGAGAGGGGGAUCGGCCAACAUGGGACUGGGGACAGGCCCAAGCCCCCACGGGAAGCAGCAGGAGGGAAUCUUCGGGCAUGGGCGGAAGUCUGACCGAGCAACGCCGCGUGGGGGAAGAAGGGUCUCGGAUCGGAAAAAUCCGUUGGUAGGGAAGGAAGUUGGUGGGAGUGGAAAGCGCACGAAGUGACGGUAACUACCCAGAAAGCGACGGCUAACUACGUG
rnacentral:rRNA from 1 species